UACGGAGGGUGCGAGCGUUGUCCGGAAUCACUGGGCGUAAAGGGCGCGUAGGUGGCGGUUUAAGCGUGCGGUGAAAGCCCGGGGCUCAACUCCGGGUCGGCCGUGCGAACUGGAUCGCUCGAGCAUGGUAGAGGCGCAUGGAAUUCCGGGUGUAGCGGUGGAAUGCGUAGAGAUCCGGAAGAACACCGGUGGCGAAGGCGGUGCGCUGGGCCAUUGCUGACACUGAUGCGCGACAGCGUGGGGAGCAAACAGG
rnacentral:rRNA from 1 species